UAUAGGGGAGCCGCAGGGAAACCGAGUCUUAACUGGGCGUUAAGUUGCAGGGUAUAGACCCGAAACCCGGUGAUCUAGCCAUGGGCAGGUUGAAGGUUGGGUAACACUAACUGGAGGACCGAACCGACUAAUGUUGAAAAAUUAGCGGAUGACUUGUGGCUGGGGGUGAAAGGCCAAUCAAACCGGGAGAUAGCUGGUUCUCCCCGAAAGCUAUUUAGGUAGCGCCUCGUGAACUCAUCUUCGGGGGUAGAGCACUGUUUCGGCUAGGGGGUCAUCCCGACUUACCAACCCGAUGCAAACUACGAAUACCGAAGAAUGUUAUCACGGGAGACACACGGCGGGUGCUAACGUCCGUCGUGAAGAGGGAAACAACCCAGACCGCCAGCUAAGGUCCCAAAGUCAUGGUUAAGUGGGAAACGAUGUGGGAAGGCACAGACAGCCAGGAUGUUGGCUUAGAAGCAGCCAUCAUUUAAAGAAAGCGUAAUAGCUCACUGGUCGAGUCGGCCUGCGCGGAAGAUGUAACGGGGCUAAACCAUGCACCGAAGCUGCGGCAGCGACACUAUGUGUUGUUGGGUAGGGGAGCGUUCUGUAAGCCUGCGAAGGUGACCUGUGAGGGUUGCUGGAGGUAUCAGAAGUGCGAAUGCUGACAUAAGUAACGAUAAAGCGGGUGAAAAGCCCGCUCGCCGGAAGACCAAGGGUUCCUGUCCAACGUUAAUCGGGGCAGGGUGAGUCGACCCCUAAGGCGAGGCCGAAAGGCGUAGUCGAUGGGAAACAGGUUAAUAUUCCUGUACUUGGUGUUACUGCGAAGGGGGGACGGAGAAGGCUAUGUUAGCCGGGCGACGGUUGUCCCGGUUUAAGCAUGUAGGCUGAUUGUCCAGGCAAAUCCGGAUAAUCAAGGCUGAGGUGUGAUGACGAGGCACUACGGUGCUGAAGUAACAAAUGCCCUGCUUCCAGGAAAAGCCUCUAAGCAUCAGGUAACAUUAAAUCGUACCCCAAACCGACACAGGUGGUCAGGUAGAGAAUACCAAGGCGCUUGAGAGAACUCGGGUGAAGGAACUAGGCAAAAUGGUGCCGUAACUUCGGGAGAAGGCACGCUGGUGUGUAGGUGAAGCCCCUGCGGGUGGAGCUGAGACCAGUCGAAGAUACCAGCUGGCUGCAACUGUUUAUUAAAAACACAGCACUGUGCAAACACGAAAGUGGACGUAUACGGUGUGACGCCUGCCCGGUGCCGGAAGGUUAAUUGAUGGGGUUAUCCGUAAGGAGAAGCUCUUGAUCGAAGCCCCGGUAAACGGCGGCCGUAACUAUAACGGUCCUAAGGUAGCGAAAUUCCUUGUCGGGUAAGUUCCGACCUGCACGAAUGGCGUAAUGAUGGCCAGGCUGUCUCCACCCGAGACUCAGUGAAAUUGAACUCGCUGUGAAGAUGCAGUGUACCCGCGGCAAGACGGAAAGACCCCGUGAACCUUUACUAUAGCUUGACACUGAACAUUGAGCCUUGAUGUGUAGGAUAGGUGGGAGGCUUUGAAGCGUGGACGCCAGUCUGCGUGGAGCCAACCUUGAAAUACCACCCUUUAAUGUUUGAUGUUCUAACGUUGGCCCCUNACCGGGGUUGCGGACAGUGUCUGGUGGGUAGUUUGACUGGGGCGGUCUCCUCCCAAAGCGUAACGGAGGAGCACGAAGGUUAGCUAAUCCUGGUCGGACAUCAGGAGGUUAGUGCAAUGGCAUAAGCUAGCUUGACUGCGAGCGUGACGGCGCGAGCAGGUGCGAAAGCAGGUCAUAGUGAUCCGGUGGUUCUGAAUGGAAGGGCCAUCGCUCAACGGAUAAAAGGUACUCCGGGGAUAACAGGCUGAUACCGCCCAAGAGUUCAUAUCGACGGCGGUGUUUGGCACCUCGAUGUCGGCUCAUCACAUCCUGGGGCUGAAGUAGGUCCCAAGGGUAUGGCUGUUCGCCAUUUAAAGUGGUACGCGAGCUGGGUUUAGAACGUCGUGAGACAGUUCGGUCCCUAUCUGCCGUGGGCGCUGGAGAAUUGAGGGGGGCUGCUCCUAGUACGAGAGGACCGGAGUGGACGCAUCACUGGUGUUCGGGUUGUCAUGCCAAUGGCACUGCCCGGUAGCUAAAUGCGGAAGAGAUAAGUGCUGAAAGCAUCUAAGCACGAAACUUGCCCCGAGAUGAGUUCUCCCUGAGACUUUAAGUCUCCUGAAGGAACGUUAAAGACGAUGACGUUGAUAGGCCGGGUGUGUAAGCGCAGCGAUGCGUUGAGCUAACCGGUACUAAUGAACCGUGAGGCUUAACCUU
rnacentral:rRNA from 1 species